rnacentral:rRNA from 1 species
UACGGGGGGGGCAAGCGUUGUUCGGAAUUACUGGGCGUAAAGGGCUCGUAGGCGGCCAACUAAGUCAUACGUGAAAUCCCUCGGCUUAACCGGGGAACUGCGUCUGAUACUGGAUGGCUUGAGUUCGGGAGAGGGAUGCGGAAUUCCAGGUGUAGCGGUGAAAUGCGUAGAUAUCUGGAGGAACACCGGUGGCGAAGGCGGCAUCCUGGACCGAUACUGACGCUGAGACGCGAAAGCGUGGGGAGCGAACAGG